rnacentral:rRNA from 1 species
AGAGCGAAUGGUGGAUGCCUUGGUUGGUAGAGGCGAUGAAAGACGUGCUAGACUGCGAUAAGUCUCGGGGAGUUGUCAAGGAACUUUGAUCCGGGAAUUUCUGAAUGGGGAAACCCAGUAUAUAGUGAUAUAUACUACCUAUAUGGAGCAAACGUGGGGAAUUGAAACAUCUUAGUACCCACAGGAAAAGAAAUCAAAUGAGAUUACGAAAGUAGCGGCGAGCGAAAUCGUAAGAGGGCAAACCACUAGUUUACUAGUGGGGUUGUAGGACUGUAACAUAGACUAAAAAGAGUUAAUAGAAUAAUCUGGAAAGUUUAAGCAUAGAGGGUGAUACUCCCGUAUAUGAAAACUCUUUUUUACUUAACAGUAUCCUGAGUAGGGCGAGGCACGUGAAACCUUGUCUGAAUCUGGGAAGACCACUUUCCAACCCUAAAUACUACUACCAAACCGAUAGCGAACAAGUACCGUGAGGGAAAGGUGAAAAGAACGGGGGUGACCCGAGUGAAAUAGAACCUGAAACCAUUUGCUUACAAUCAUUCAGAGCACGAUUCUUUAUGACGUGUGAUGGACUGCCUUUUGCAUAAUGAGCCUGCGAGUUGUGAUAUCUGGCAAGGUUAAGGAAAUCCGGAGCCGUAGCGAAAGCAAGUCUUAAUAGGGCGUUUAGUCAGAUAUUGCAGACCCGAAACGAAGUGAUCUAUCCAUGAGCAGGUUGAAACCGGUGUAAGAGCCGGCGGAGGACCGAACCCGCUGACGUUGAAAAGUCUUGGGAUGACUUGUGGAUAGGGGUGAAAGGCCAAUCAAACUUCGUGAUAGCUGGUUCUCUCCGAAAUAUAUUUAGGUAUAGCGUUAUGUAGUAAUUAGAGGGGGUAGAGCACUGAAUGGGCUAGGGCAUACACCAAUGUACCAAACCCUAUCAAACUCCGAAUACCUUUAAUGUAAUCAUAGCAGUCAGGCGGCGAGUGAUAAAAUCCGUCGUCAAGAGGGGAACAACCCAGACUACCGACUAAGGUCCCAAAAUCUUAUUUAAGUGGAAAACGAUGUGAAGUUACUUAAACAACCAGGAGGUUGGCUUAGAAGCAGCCAUCCUUUAAAGAUAGCGUAAUAGCUCACUGGUCUAGUGAUUUUGCGCGGAAAAUAUAACGGGGCUAAAAUAAGUACCGAAGUCGUAGACUUAGUUUUACUAAGUGGUAGGAGAGCGUUGUAUUUAGCGUUGAAGAUGUACCGGUAAGGAGCGUUGGAGCAAAUACAAGUGAGCAUGCAGGCAUGAGUAGCGUUAAAUCAGGUGAGAAUCCUGAUCGCCGAAAACCCAAGGUUUCCUACGCGAUGCUCGUCAUCGUAGGGUUAGUCGGGUCCUAAGCAAAGUCCGAAAGGGGUAUGCGAUGGAAAAUUGGUUAAUAUUCCAAUACCAAUUAUUAUGUGCGAUGGAAGGACGCUUAAAGUUAGUGGAGCUAACUGAUGGAAUAGUUAGUCUAAGGUCGUAGGUUGAGUUAUAGGCAAAUCCGUAACUCUUUAUCCGAAAGCUUAAAGGCUUACAAAGCUCUUCGGAGUAGCGUAAGAAUCCAUGAUACUAUAGAGCCAAGAAAAGUUUCUAAGUUUAGUAAUAAUUGCCCGUACCGUAAACCGACACAGGUGGGUGGGAUGAGUAUUCUAAGGCGCGUGGAAGAACUCUCUUUAAGGAACUCUGCAAAAUAGCACCGUAUCUUCGGUAUAAGGUGUGCCUACCAGGGUGCAAGCCCUAGAGGUUACAACAAAGAGUCCCUCCCGACUGUUUACCAAAAACACAGCACUCUGCUAACACGUAAGUGGAUGUAUAGGGUGUGACGCCUGCCCGGUGCUCGAAGGUUAAUUGAUGGAGUUAGCAUUAGCAAAGCUCUUGAUCGAAGCCCGAGUAAACGGCGGCCGUAACUAUAACGGUCCUAAGGUAGCGAAAUUCCUUGUCGGUUAAAUACCGACCUGCAUGAAUGGCGUAACGAGAUGGGAGCUGUCUCAAAGAGGGAUCCAGUGAAAUUGUAGUGGAGGUGAAAAUUCCUCCUACCCGCGGCAAGACGGAAAGACCCCGUGGACCUUUACUAUAGCUUGACACUGCUACUUGGAUAAAGAUGUGCAGGAUAGGUGGGAGAUUAUGAUCUAUAGAUGCUAGUCUAUAAGGAGUCAUCCUUGAGAUACCACUCUUCUUUAUUCGGGUAGCUAACUAGCCUAAGUUAUCCUUAGGUAGGACAAUGUCUGGUGGGUAGUUUGACUGGGGCGGUCGCCUCCCAAAUAAUAACGGAGGCUUACAAAGGUUGGUUCAAAACGGUUGGAAAUCGUUUGUAGAGUAUAAAGGCAAAAACCAGCUUAACUGCGACACCGACAAGUGGAGCAGAGACGAAAGUCGGUCUUAGUGAUCCGGUGGUUCUGUGUGGAAGGGCCAUCGCUCAAAGGAUAAAAGGUACCCCGGGGAUAACAGGCUGAUCUCCCCCAAGAGCUCACAUCGACGGGGAGGUUUGGCACCUCGAUGUCGGCUCAUCGCAUCCUGGGGCUGGAGCAGGUCCCAAGGGUAUGGCUGUUCGCCAUUUAAAGCGGUACGCGAGCUGGGUUCAGAACGUCGUGAGACAGUUCGGUCCCUAUCUGCCGUGGGCGUAAGAAGAUUGAGGAGAGUUGACCCUAGUACGAGAGGACCGGGUUGAACCAACCACUGGUGUAUAAGUUGUCCUGCCAAGGGCACCGCUUAGUAGCUAAGUUGGGAUGUGAUAAGAGCUGAAAGCAUCUAAGCUCGAAGCCAACUCCAAGAUUAAUCUUCUUUUAAGAGCUCUUAUAGACUAUAAGUUUGAUAGGCUGGGUGUGUAAUUGAUGUAAGUCAUUUAGCUGACCAGUACUAAUAGCUCGUUUGCUUAUCUA